GGGAUUGUAGUUCAAUUGGUCAGAGCACCGCCCUGUCAAGGUGGAAGCUGCGGGUUCGACCCCGUCAAUCCCG
rnacentral:tRNA from 1 species